AUGUGGCUAUCUCCACAACCUCUUAGUGAGCUUGAUGAAGUGGAAAGGGGCAAGGAUCUGGAUCAAAUAUCUAUUUGGCGGUCUCCCUUUUUCAUUAUCUAUGAGUGUGUCAUACACACCAUCGAUGCAAAGAUGGGUCACAAGGGGUCCUGUAAUGGGUAUUGUAUUGAUCUCAUGUCUCACCUUUAUGCGCAUCCCAACGGGAAGAUCAAUGUUCCUCAUUUUCUGUGGCAUGAGAUUCGUCUUGCCAGUCUUCAGUACAAGUGGGAUUUUCCUCAUGCUCCUUUUCUUCAGGCCUUCAUUGAGAGUAUAGCUCAUUUUCCCAUUGCUCGGACUCAUGUGCAUCCGCAGUGGGUCAUUCCACCUAAUAUGGCGGAUGAUUUGGCUCCCAAGAAAUCCACCUCUGCCCCUGCUCGAUGA
rnacentral:rRNA from 1 species